rnacentral:rRNA from 1 species
UCUUAGUUUACUCUAUUGCAAUGAGGCAUGUUUAAUAACCUGUUCGAGCAACAAGUGAAGGGCAAGUCUGGUGCCAGCAGCCGCGGUAAUUCCAGCUUCACGAGUGUAUAUUUAAGUUGUUGCAGUUAAAAAGCUCGUAGUUGAACUUCUGUUUGUUCAGGGAGUGGUUUUCUACUAACUGGACGAGCAUCCGCCUGAAAAGCCAUUCGGAUCUUUACUGAUUCAAUGGUGGAUUAGGCAUUUUACUUUGAAAAAAUUAGAGUGUUCAAAGCAGGCCUACGCCUGAAUACAUUAGCAUGGAAUAAUGGAAUAGGACGCUGUCCAUUUUGUUGGUUAUUGGGUGGCGUAAUGAUUAAUAGGGACAGUUGGGGGCAUUUGUAUUUAAUUGUCAGAGGUGAAAUUCUUGGAUUUAUUUAAGACAAACUUAUGCGAAAGCAUUUGCCAAGGAUGUUUUCAUUAACCAAGAACGAAAGUUAGAGGAUCAAAGACGAUCAGAUACCGUCCUAGUUUUAACUAUAAACUAUGCCGACUCGGUCUAAGUCAAGUCUUCAAUACUUGAUUGGUGCCGUAUGAGAAAUCAAAGUCUUUGGGUUCCGGGGGGAGUAUGGUCGCAAGACUGAAACUUAAAGGAAUAGACGGAACAUUACACCAGGUGUGGAUCCUGUGGCUUAAUUUGACCCAACACGGGGAAACUUACCAGCGCAAAACAAGGGUGGGAUUGACAGAUUGAGAGCUCUUUCUUGAUUCUUUGGAUAGUGGUGCAUGGCCGUUCUUAGUUGGUGGAGUGAUUUGUCUGCUUAAUUGCGUUAACGAACGAGACCUCAACCUACUUACUAGACGCAUGAUUAUCCAUCGUGCGAUCUUCUUAGAGGGACUGUGCGGAUCAAACGCAAGGAAGUUUGAGGCAAUAACAGGUCUGUGAUGCCCUUAGAUGUGCUGGGCCGCACGCGGGAUACAAUGACCAGUUCAGCAAGUACUACCUGACCCGAAAGGGAGUGGGUAAUCUUACAGUACUGGUCGUGCUAGGGAUAGAUCUUUGCAAUUAUAGAUCUUGAACGAGGAAUACCUAGUAAGUGCAAGUCAUCAGCUUGUACUGAUUACGUCCCUAGUGUUUGUACUCACCGCCCGUCGCUCCUACCAAUUUCGAAUGAUCCGGUGAACCUUCUGGAUUGGGUGCAAGCCUGAGAAGUUAAGUAAACCUUAUCAUUUAGA